rnacentral:rRNA from 1 species
UUUGACCUCGGAUCAGGUAGGGAUACCCAUUCCCC